rnacentral:rRNA from 1 species
CCUACGGGUGGCAGCAGUGGGGAAUAUUGCACAAUGGGGGAAACCCUGAUGCAGCGACGCCGCGUGAGUGAAGAAGGGUUUCGGCGCGUAAAGCUCUGUCAGCGGGGAAGAAACACGGGUCGCGAGAGCCGCGGACGGUACCCGACCAAGAAGCCCCGGCGAACUACGUGCCAGCAGCCGCGGUAAUAAGUAGGGGGCAAGCGUGAUCCGGAUGCACUGGGUGUCAAGGGAGCGUAGACGGCGAGCCAAGUCUGGAGGGAAAGGCCGGGGCCCCACCCCGGGACUGCUCUUGAAACUGCCUGGCUGGAGUACAGGAGAUGUAAGUGGCAUUCCUAGUGUAGCGGUGAAAUGCGUAGAUAUUAGGAGG